rnacentral:tRNA from 1 species
GGCGAUGUGGUGAAAUUGGUAGACACGCUACUUUGAGGGGGUAGUGGGCGCAAGCCCAUGGGAGUUCGAGUCUCCCCAUCGUCA